UUAGAGUUUGGAACCUGGCUCAGGACGAACGCUGGCGGCGUGCCUAAUACAUGCAAGUCGAGCGCGGGAAGCAGGCAGAUCCUCUUCGGAGGUGACGCCUGUGGAACGAGCGGCGGACGGGUGAGUAACACGUGGGCAACCUGCCUGUAAGAUUGGGAUAACCCCGGGAAACCGGGGCUAAUACCGGAUAAUACUUUUCGUUGCAUAACGAGAAGUUGAAAGGCGGCUUUUAGCUGUCACUUACAGAUGGGCCCGCGGCGCAUUAGCUAGUUGGUAAGGUAACGGCUUACCAAGGCGACGAUGCGUAGCCGACCUGAGAGGGUGAUCGGCCACACUGGGACUGAGACACGGCCCAGACUCCUACGGGAGGCAGCAGUAGGGAAU
rnacentral:rRNA from 1 species